AACGAACGCUGGCGGCAGGCCUAACACAUGCAAGUCGAGCGGAAAGGCCCCUUCGGGGGUACACGAGCGGCGAACGGGUGAGUAACACGUGGGUGACCUGCCCUCAGCUCUGGGAUAAGCCUGGGAAACCGGGUCUAAUACCGGAUAGGACCGCGCCUCGCAUGGGGUGGGGUGGAAAGUUUUUUCGGCUGGGGAUGGGCCCGCGGCCUAUCAGCUUGUUGGUGGGGUGAUGGCCUACCAAGGCGACGACGGGUAGACGGCCUGAGAGGGCGACCGGCCACACUGGGACUGAGACACGGCCCAGACUCCUACGGGAGGCAGCAGUGGGGAAUAUUGCGCAAUGGGCGAAAGCCUGACGCAGCGACGCCGCGUGGGGGAUGACGGCCUUCGGGUUGUAAACCUCUUUCGCCAUCGACGAAGCCCCUUCGGGGGUGACGGUAGGUGGAGAAGAAGCACCGGCCAACUACGUGCCAGCAGCCGCGGUAACAC
rnacentral:rRNA from 1 species